GACGAACGCUGGCGGCGUGCCUAAUACAUGCAAGUCGAACGAGAGCGACCGGUGCUUGCACUGGUCAAUCUAGUGGCGAACGGGUGAGUAACACGUGGGUAACCUGCCCAUCAGAGGGGGAUAACAUCCGGAAACGGAUGCUAAAACCGCAUAGGUCUUCGAACCGCAUGGUUUGAAGGGGAAAAGAGGCGCAAGCUUCUGCUGAUGGAUGGACCCGCGGUGCAUUAGCUAGUUGGUGAGGUAACGGCUCACCAAGGCCGUGAUGCAUAGCCGACCUGAGAGGGUGAUCGGCCACAUUGGGACUGAGACACGGCCCAAACUCCUACGGGAGGCAGCAGUAGGGAAUCUUCCGCAAUGGACGCAAGUCUGACGGAGCAACGCCGCGUGAGUGAAGAAGGUUUUCGGAUCGUAAAACUCUGUUGUUAGAGAAGAACAAGUGCUAGAGUAACUGUUAGCGCCUUGACGGUAUCUAACCAGAAAGCCACGGCUAACUACGUG
rnacentral:rRNA from 1 species